UACGUAGGGUGCGAGCGUUAAUCGGAAUUACUGGGCGUAAAGCGUGCGCAGGCGGUUCGUGAUGUCUGGUGUGAAAGCCCCGGGCUUAACCUGGGAAUUGCAUUGGAAACUAGCGGGCUGGAGUGUGGCAGAGGGGGGUGGAAUUCCACGUGUAGCAGUGAAAUGCGUAGAGAUGCGGAGGAACACCGAUGGCGAAGGCAAUCCCCUGGGCCUGCACUGACGCUCAUGCACGAAAGCGUGGGGAGCAAACAGG
rnacentral:rRNA from 1 species